rnacentral:rRNA from 1 species
AUUGAACGCUGGCGGCAUGCUUUACACAUGCAAGUCGAGCGGCAGCGCGGGGGCAACCCUGGCGGCGAGCGGCGAACGGGUGAGUAAUGCAUCGGAACGUAUCCUCGAGUGGGGGAUAACCCAGCGAAAGUUGGGCUAAUACCGCAUGAGCUCUGAGGAGGAAAGCGGGGGACCUGCGAGGGCCUCGCGCUGGAGGAGCGGCCGAGGUCCGAUUAGCUAGUUGGUGGGGUAAAGGCUUACCAAGGCGACGAUCGGUAGCUGGUCUGAGAGGAUGAUCAGCCACACUGGGACUGAGACACGGCCCAGACUCCUACGGGAGGCAGCAGUGGGGAAUUUUGGACAAUGGGGGCAACCCUGAUCCAGCCAUGCCGCGUGAGUGAAGAAGGCCUUCGGGUUGUAAAGCUCUUUCGGACGGAACGAAAUGGGCGGGACUAAUACUCCUGUCUGAUGACGGUACCGUAAGAAGAAGCACCGGCUAACUACGUG